rnacentral:snoRNA from 1 species
CCGUUCUUGUGUUAUUUGCUGGAUGUUUUAUCAUAGUCCAGCGAUUGUCAAACAGAACGCAAAAUAAAGCAACUAAUCACUCCAUAAUGAUGGGCCUACUCAAACCAGGGCCUCCUCAUUACUAAAUGUUUGCUACAUCU